rnacentral:rRNA from 1 species
UAAUACAGAGACCUCAAGCGUUAUCCGGAAUCAUUGGGCGUAAAGCGUGCCGAUAGGUGGUUUUAUUAGUCUUGGGUAAAAGCCAGAAGCUCAACUUCUGAGUUUGCUUAAGAUACUGUAAGACUAGAGGGACAGAGAGGUGGCUGGAACUAACGGUGUAGGGUUAAUAUCCGUUGAUAUCGUUAGGAACACCGAAAGCGAAGGCAGGCCACUGGUUGUCACCUGACACUGCUAGGACGAAAGCGUGGGGAGCAAAAAGGAUUAGAUACCCUUGUAGUCCACGCUGUAAACGAUGAAUACUAGGCAUGCGCGAGUAUCGACCCUCGUGCGAGCCGUAGCUAACGCGUUAAGUAUUCCGCCUGGGGAGUACGGUCGCAAGACUA